AGCGCACCGGCGGUGCCCCACAGAUCAAGUGUAGUAUCUGUUCUUUCCAGCGUGACAGCUGGAAGAUGCCCCAUCGGUGUGUCGUGUCUGUCAUUGAAUCUUUGGACCAGGACGGAGAAGCUCGGGGCUUGCUCCGAGUUCUGUCGCGGAUGUCGCUCGUAUUGCGCUGUCUCGAGCUGACGUCCAUGGACC
rnacentral:snRNA from 1 species